CUGAUUGGUCGUUUACAGACGCGUAUUGAUGAGGUUGCAUGAACGCAAACUGUACACGCCUGGUUCCUGCGUGUUCAGUGUUUGUGAAACAUUAAGCGCAUUUAAGGUUUAUCAGGUCUAUCUGAACUGAAACACAAUGAGUAAAAAGGGUAAUGUAUCAUGGGUGAAGCCAGCCGAGCCAUCUUUUUUGAAGAAAUUCAAGAACGACGUUGGUUUUAAAGAAGGGCCUACGGUGGAGACUAAAAAGCAGCAGACGCCGCAGGUUGAUGAUGACAGUGCUGACAGUGAUCGGGAGGACGAGAUGCCGCAGGUCGUGGUUUUAAAAAAGGGAGAUUUGAGUGCCGAAGACGUUAUGAAAAUCAAAAAAGAUACAGAGGACUCGAACAAAGAUGAACAGCCUCCACCGGAUGGAAAGAUCGUCUUUAAGAAGCCUGUCAAACGCUCCUCUGAUAAACUCGAAGGCAUUACUGCCAGCUCUAGCAAGAAGAAGAGAAGUGAGGAUGGUGAGAAGAAAGAGUCAAAAGCUGGUGUGAAGGUGAAGAACAACAGCCUGCUGUCUUUUGGUGAUGAUGAUGAUGAUGAUGAGGAAGACUAGUUUGGCAGGGAGACAAGCAUCUCUUUGAGUCAGGUUGUCUCUUGGACUGGUUCUUGCAAAGACCAAUCUGCUGUUUUAAAAAUAUAUUUGUGUGUGUAAAAUAGAUGUUUGUGAGAAUGGUCAAACUCAUGCAGUUUAUUUGUUAUGAUAUUAUUUUGUAAAACACGUGAGUCAUUAUGAGCCUCUGGAGCAUUCCUAAUAGCAGGUAGGAAGUAACGAUAUGAGAUGUCUUUUGCAAUAUCAUAAUUGUCAUUAAUGACACUUUUUAAAGACUGAUGAUAAAUGUAUGGACAACAAGAGAAACAAAAACACCUGGGUCAAUCAGAAAUGCAAAUAUGAUAGAAUACGGAACAUUUUAUUUCAAAGAGGUUCUUAAGGGUUUCAUAGAAAUGAAACUGUCCUGUUGGGAGAUUUCAAACAGGAUGUUCAUAUAUGGCUUCUAUAAAGGAGCUGUGCAGUUUCCCUUUUUUAUGGUUGUUUUAGGUUUUGACACUCAAAUUCCCUGAUUCUGGGACUUUUGGAGUUGUAUUUUAUUAUACAUGGUCACAUUUUGAGGAAAGUAAACAACUUGCAUUCUGUAAUAAAAUGUUUGUAACCAUCAUUUAUCUUGUGCUGCAACUGAUCAAUUCUAAAAAAGUGUUUUCAAUAUAAAUCAUGUGUUUUUAUUCAGGAAGGAAUGUCAUUAAAAAUUUAAAUAGGGUACUUUAUCAGCAUUAUCAGUUUGAGUAAAAUUACACUUUAAGAAGGAAGGACUAAAUACAACCAACAUUAAUUGGCACGUAGAAAUACAUUGAUAUGAACAUAUAACUUCCUUUAUAUGUUGUAGUUCU